rnacentral:snRNA from 1 species
GGAUGUGAGGGUGAUCUGACUGUGACGUCUGUCACUCCACUGAUCAUCAGUGUUGAUCCGUUGCUCUGGUGUCUCCUCUCUCCCUCCCUCCCAGGUCCAGAGAGGAUGACCUCCCUGAUAAAGGACGUUCACUCUUUGCUCAAGGGUGCAUGAGUAGCUGUGAUCUGUUAAAACUUCAAAAACAAUCUCUCAAAAUUCCUGAUGCUACCCUAAGGAUCUAUAAGCUCUUUAG